GACGAACGCUGGCGGCGUGCUUAACACAUGCAAGUCGAACGGAAAGGCCCUGCUUUUGUGGGGUGCUCGAGUGGCGAACGGGUGAGUAACACGUGAGUAACCUGCCCUUGACUUUGGGAUAACUUCAGGAAACUGGGGCUAAUACCGGAUAGGAGCUCCUGCUGCAUGGUGGGGUUGGAAAGUUUCGGCGGUUGGGGAUGGACUCGCGGCUUAUCAGCUUGUUGGUGGGGUAGUGGCUUACCAAGGCUUUGACGGGUAGCCGGCCUGAGAGGGAGACCGGCCACAUUGGGACUGAGAUACGGCCCAGACUCCUACGGGAGGCAGCAGUGGGGAAUAUUGCACAAUGGGCGGAAGCCUGAUGCAGCAACGCCGCGUGCGGGAUGACGGCCUUCGGGUUGUAAACCGCUUUCGCCUGUGACGAAGCGUGAGUGACGGUAAUGGGUAAAGAAGCACCGGCUAACUACGUG
rnacentral:rRNA from 1 species